AACGAGACCUUCGGGUCUAGUGGCGCACGGGUGCGUAACGCGUGGGAAUCUGCCCUUAGGUACGGAAUAACUCAGAGAAAUUUGUGCUAAUACCGUAUGAUGUCGAAAGACCAAAGAUUUAUCGCCUAAGGAUGAGCCCGCGUAAGAUUAGCUUGUUGGUGAGGUAAAAGCUCACCAAGGCGACGAUCUUUAGCUGGUCUGAGAGGAUGAUCAGCCACACUGGGACUGAGACACGGCCCAGACUCCUACGGGAGGCAGCAGUGGGGAAUACUGGACAAUGGGCGAAAGCCUGAUCCCAGCAAUGCCGCGUGGAGUGAUGAAGGCCUUUAGGGUUGUAAAGCUCUUUUACCCAGGGAUGAUAAUGACCGU
rnacentral:rRNA from 1 species